CUGGGCAGAGGGAUCCUCCUCCCAUCAUCACUGAGCUGCUCCAGGCCCCUCAGCACCUUCAGAGCCUGCCCUGGACUCUCUCCAGUAAUUCCCAGUCUCUCUGGAACUGGGGAGCCCAGAACUGGACCCAGUGCUCCAUCUAUGGCCUGACUGGGGCAGAGUAGAGGGGGAGCAGAACCUCCCUGGACCUACUGCCCACGCUCUUCUCCAUGCCUCCAGGAGACCAUCAGCCUUGUUGACCAGGAGGGCACAUUGCUGGCUCACAAUGAAGUUGUUGCCCACGAGGACUGCCAGGUCCUUCUCCUUGGAGCUGCUUCCCAGCAGGUCAUUAUUCCUCACCUGUACUGCUGCAGGGAGUUGUUCCUCUCCAGGUGCAGGACCCUCCACUUGCCCUGGUUGAACUCCAUGAGGAGUUCACUCCACCCAGCUCCUCUGGCUCUCCUACACACCCUUCUCACUAUGUCUUCUCCAGCUUUCCCUAUAGUCCCUUUUGCAGAUCCUCCUGGGAUGGGAUCUUUUCUGAAGCUCUCUCUUCUCUCUCUACCCACUCUGCUGUUGCCUUGAGAGGAGCUUUCCUCGGUGCCAGGACCAAGCCAGAUUUCAUUGGUGCUGCUGGAACACCUCAGGAGGCUCACCCUAAGUUGUGUCUGAGGUGGCCUCAUAGAGGUGUCUAGAUUUGGGACACAGCUGGGUCACUGCUGCUAGCCAGGGUGAGGAGCACCCAUCCCUUUUCUCUCUGGUUUUUAAGGUCACCUCUUUCGUUUCAAACCUCUCCCCUCUGGUGCCACCCUUGCAGCUGUGUCAGGCUGGAGAGCAAGCAGAGGAGAAAGUGCCCCAUCAGCCAUCCCCACCAGCUCCCACCCUUCAGGCACUGCAGGGAGGCUUUAGUCCCUAAUUGUGCAGGUACUUGGCAGUACCCAACUGCUUCUCUACCCACCAAAAGAAAACAAAGCCUCCAAACCAACCUGGUGCUGCUCUUCAGGAGCUUAAUAGCACUGCUAAUAGAGGUCACCACUCAUCAGAGAGCCGCGCACCGCAAAGUGGAGGAACAUCAGGACGUGGAGAGCUCUUGGCUCGGGCGCAGAGGGAGCUCUCAAGCCCGUGUUGGCAGCCGAUGAGCAUUUUUGGGGGGGGGUGGCUAGGAAGGGCAGUGGUUGCAAUAGAAGCAAGGGGUCGAGCCCGGCUAAGGUGCCCAAGGGCAGCGUCUCCAUCCGACCAUCGAGCAGCUCAAUGCCUUCCAGAGCUCACCAACAAAAGAUGACCCCAGGGCAGCGUCGGGAACGAGGCAGGGGGGGAGGGUAAGGAUUCAACCAGGGCUUUGGGGUGCCGGGGCCAAAGAGAAGGGAAAGCAGCCCGAUGCUGCUGCAGGGUACUCCCAAGCCGUGUCCUCAGCCCAGCCUGACUUGUGCCCACGCUGCAGCGAUGCCACCUUUAGGCUCCGCCACCAUCCCUAGAUAGCACUCCCACCUGGUUCCCAAGCCCCUGGCGGAGGGGCUCGGCUGAUUGUAAGCCUGCCCUCACCCCAGGACACGCCGAAGGCUCAGCGAGCAGCCGCAGGGCCCCCGGGAGCCGGCGGCGCCAGGCUGCAGCCGCGGUGCCCAGCCCCGCUGGCCAAGUGGCCACAGGGAGCUGCUGAGUCAGGGCAGCGGGGCUGGGCGAGCCUGCCUGCAUCGAUCGAAACCUGAGCCCGGAUCCGAGGAGACGAGAGCCCUCCCGCAGGUGGUGGCUGCUCCUCCCGGCUCCAAACCCCGGGCAGGGUUCUAGAGCAGCCCUCCCUCGCUCCUGGGCGCAGGGUUGAGAGGUGGUGGCUCAGCAGAUGUCCUUCGGGGUGCUGGGGCAACGGUCUGUGCCCCUCGUUUGAUGGAGUCCCAAGUGAAGAGAGGCACUGCUCAAGCGAGCAGGGCUCAGGGAGGAGGGAGGGAGCUCUGGUUGUGGAGAAGGACCUCAGCACAUCCCAGUUUUGGGCUCUGUGCUGACAUAAAGGGCAAACCUGGACUCGAGUCUCUGCAGGGUCUGGGGGGACAGGAUCUGUGUAGCCCUGGCUGAAACCCACCGCAGCUGCUCCUGGAGCACCACUGCAUCUUCAGGAGCUGCUUGCAUCCCGUGGCUCGGGGGCCAGCAGGGAGGAAUCCAGCCUGGUGCUGCAGCCUCAUCUCAGCUGCUGAGCAGCUGCUGCCAGCAGAGCCGCGGGCAAAGUCCAAGCUGUGACCUUCAGCCUCCACCUGCCACUUUUCCCUGCUUUCCUUUGUAGCCACCAGUGAGCCAGGAGCUCCUUGUGCCAGCAGCAACCAGGUUGCCUAUCCCCGUGGUGCCAAGCACCAUCCUGGCUCCCAGCACCACCACACCAGAGCUCCCCAGGGCUCCUCGGUGCUUCUCCACAUGGCAACAGGAUGCAUGGGAAAAUCUCAAGCUCUCAUCCCACCUGAGCCCACCCAUAAUUCCAGGAUGGCAGGAGUCUCCAGGGGAGCAGGGACCUUGGCCAGGAGAAUUUGGAACCAAGGGGAGACGUGGCAUAGAGUCACAGAAUCAUUUUGGCUGGAGAAGACCUUUCUGAUCAUCAAGUCCAACCAGUACCAAGGCUGGGGCUAAACCAUGUCCCUCAGCACCACCUCUCUGCCUCUUUGGAGCACCUCCUGGGAUGGGCAUUCAACCACCUCCCUGGGCAGCCUGUGCCAGUCUCUGAGAACCCUUUCAGUGAAGAAGUUUCUUUAACUACCCAACUUAAACCUCCCCUGGGGCAACUUGAGGCCAUGGAGGAGACAUCCCCCAGGCACCAUAUUAAAUCCCCUCAGGAUGGAGUCAGGGAGGUCAACAGGAUUUUUAGGAGCCUCCACACCACAGAAGCACAGAACUGGUUUGGUUGGGAGAGACUUCCAGGAUCAGCAAGCCCAGCUGUUGACCCAACAUCACCACAGCCAUUAAACCAUGUCCUCAAGUGCCACAUCUACACACAGCCACUUCUCUCCUUGCUGCUCCUCCCUCUCAAGUCCAUGGGGUGCUAAGGGAUGGCUAUGGGGUACAGCUUGGGGUGGAGAGGCUCUCUGGGGACUCAUGAGGCUGAAGCAGAGCUGGGGGGGGGGGAUGCACCUGGACUUGUGCCUCCCCAGCCACGAUGCCAGCUCCAGCAUUGCCUACCAAUGCUAACUCCCAUUUCUGACUGCUUUGCUUUAGUCCUUUUGCUGUUGGCUGCUCAUCGGAGAAGCAGAGAUGAGCUCCCAGCGUGGGGAGCACAGCUCCAGGGCUGGAUUAGCACCA